rnacentral:rRNA from 1 species
AGCGUUGUUCGGAGUUACUGGGCGUAAAGGGUGCGUAGGCGGCUUUUUAAGUUUGGUGUGAAAUCUCCCGGCUCAACUGGGAGGGUGCGCCGAAUACUGAGAGGCUAGAGUGUGGGAGAGGAAAGUGGAAUUCCUGGUGUAGCGGUGAAAUGCGUAGAUAUCAGGAGGAACACCGGUGGUGUAAACGGCUUUCUGGACCAUAACUGACGCUGAGGCACGAAAGCGUGGGUAGCAAACAGG